rnacentral:lncRNA from 1 species
GGGUGGUUUCGGCUAACGGUGCUGCCGGCGGGCUGCCUAUGGGGACUCCCGUCUUCUGCUGGUGGUGCACUCCUUUAGGGGUGAAGUGUGACUUAUAGCAUAGCAGGUGCGCUGUUUCCCGUAGAAGAUUGGGUGUGCUCUGCACUGAAGGUAUGUUCUCUAGUAUGAAUCUGUGUAGUGCUGGGCAUGCUGGCUCUGGCCUCAAGGUUGGAUGUGGAUUGUCAAAGUCAGGAACAGCCGUGGCGUCUUGCGGUUCCCAGGUGGGCCUUCUAGUUCUGUUCAAGGCUUCAUCUGUGGCUGUGGUGGAGUGUUCACUUUGGCCUGGUGGCUUCAUGCUCCAUUUGGCUGUUGCCUCCUCUGGAGCGUAGGUGGGGGCCGUGCUUUUUUCCACUGUGGGCCGCGGUGCUGGAGGUUGCUUGUGCAUUUUGGCGUAUGCAAGCAGUCGAGGGCAUGCUGGUGCUUGUACUUUCCUGUGUUUCCAGAC